GCCGGGCAUGGUAGUGCAUGCCUGUAAUCCCAGCUACUUGGGAGGCUGAGGCAGGAGAAUCACUUGAACCCGGAAGACGGAGGUUACAGUGAGCCGAGAUCAUGCCACUGCACUCCAGCCUGGGUGACAGAGAGAGACUCUGCCUCAA
rnacentral:SRP_RNA from 2 species